CAUAACAGAUUUGCAGUGCAGAAAAAGUUUCAUUAUUUCACAGUAAAGUCAAGCGUCCAAAUUGUUUAAGAAAGUUUAGCUUGUUUCUUAAAAUUUGAUAAGUUUCUCAAAGUUUUUGGAACAAUGUCACGAUAUUUAGCCGCAUUUCUCCUCCUAAUCGUAGCCAUUUUUGCUCUUGCGGAAGAAGUUCCUGAAUGCAACGGAGUCUGUGGCAGACCUGACGACCAGGAGAACGCAUGUUGUGUAGCGCACGGUUACUUUGCAGGGAUUGGAUGCCAAAAUGGUCGAAUGUUCUGUGGGCCUCAUCACUGAUCAGAUGCAUACAAGUUUGCUCGUAGAUUAAAACUUUUAUGGAAGUUUGGGGGACGUUGCUAAAGUGAAUUGUUGAGUAUUUGACUAAUAAAUUUUGGAAUUGGGGUGAAUA